GUAUGAAGUAUGAAGUAUGAAGUAUGAAGUAUGAAGUAUGAAGUAUGAAGUAUGAAGUAUGAAGUAUGAAGUAUGAAGUAUGAAGUAUGAAGUAUGAAUUCAAUCUUCUUUCGUCUUCUUUAAUUUUAAAACUUUAUGGGAAUAUUUCAGUUAAAAGUUUCACUGCUUGUUGUCUCCCUUUUUAUUUCCUUUUUGUAAUUUUCAAUUAGAAAAUCUUCAUUCCCCUUUUUUAUUGUCCUAUUCAGAGCAACUUUCCUACCUUUUCGAUAUUGUGCCAGUUAUCAGAAUGAGUACCUAGUUAGCUUUCAGUGCACCAUUACCUAUUUUUUAUCGCCAAUUUCAAUGUGUGAUUUUAACUUUGUAUUCCAAAUGCAAAGUCUACUUCAAUUGUUUUUCAUGGUCUAGAAUGUUUUUCAAAGUGAGGUGUCAUCUACGUUCACAGUUGAUAAAUUCAUAAACCAAAGAUUCAUUCUAAUUGCUCAUAAAUUAUAAUAUUAUAUGUAUAUUUAUAUAAUUUAAAAAUAGUUUUAAAGAAAAUAAUAUAAAAAACGCAAUUCUUACCACUACACUGCUGCAACAUACUUCGGAUGUCUGGCUUGUAAAGAUUUCUCGGUUUUCUCAAAUCCUAUAAAAAUCUCUCACAUACUCUGGAACUCUCUCAUAUCAUCUGAAACUCUCUUGCAUCCUUACCCGUUCUCGGAUUAUGAGGGGUAAGUUGUGUUCGUGCAUAAUAAAAAUAUAUUUUGAACAAUUUAGGAAAGGCUUAUGUCAACAAGAAACGCUUUUGCCAACAAGUUGUUCAUUUUUACAAAUGUUAACCCUAUUCAUCCCGAGACGUAAAGAGAGAGGCGAUUGCAGUGGUGAAGGUGGGGAGGAAAGAGUUAUGCUGUACUGCCGUAACUUAUCAUUUGUUGUGAUCCGUUGCGACAGCCAUUCCUCCCACAAUAACAACAACAUCUUUCAGCUUAUAUGUUCUGCAUUGAGGUAUGUUUAUAUUCUUUUAAAUUAGCAAGGCUUAUGAAAAGCACCACCUUUUCUUUCGUUAACAUUAAAAAGAGUGAAUUACACCCAACUAAUACUUUUUCUCUCUACGUAAGUGGAUUUCUCUACCUUCUAUUUUUUAUUAUGGUUUAAAGUGGAUUCCAUGCCCUCUGGUUAUUAUAAAUAAAUUUAUUUCGUCAGGUUGUUAUUAACGUGAGUGAAUUUCUUCUCCUCUUUUGCUGUUGUUUUUAAAAAGUGAUUCCAAUCCACUUUUUAUUGUUGUUGUUCUUUUUAAUGCAGGUAGAUUUCUAUCCCGGUUGUUUUUAUUAUUGUGCAGAGUAAAUUACAUCUCCUCCGAGUGAAUUUAAUCUCCUCUGGGUGAAUUUCAUUUCCUCUGCUUUUUUAAAAAUAAAUUUAUCUCCUUGCUUGCUGUGGUUUUUUAAAUUAAUAGGUUUUUAUCCCUUCUAUGUCUUUUUUGAUUGUCCAGAGUGAAUUCCAUCUCCUCUGCUGUUUUUUAUAACUGCACUUAUCUCCUCGGUCGUUUUUAUCACGAGUGAUUUCCAUCUCCUCUGCUUUUUAUAAAUGCAUUUAUCUCUUCAGCUUUUUUAGCGCAAAUGAAUUUCAUCGCCUCGUUUGCUUACCAGUUAAUUCUGCUGUCAAAAAAGCGUAUUUUGUUGUGUUUUAUCACCAAAAACUCAAGUUAUAUACGACAAAUAUUAUAUAUUUAAAAUAUUUUUGUCUUAUGUUAUAUGUUGAAAUAGGAUUUAGUUAGAGUAGAGCGAUGUGUGGUGAGAUUGGAGUAGAGUGACGUCCGGUGUGAUAGGUUUGGAGCUGGGUAGGGUAGGGUAGAGUAGGAAGAAGGUUAGGGGUAUAUGUGGGGUAGGAUUUGAGGUAAAUGUGGAGAUACGGGAAGUGAAGAAAUUAUAACGUCACAAAAUUUCUUUGUACGUAACAAUCAUAAAAAAUUUCCUUUAUUAUUUAAAAAAAAUAAAAAUAGAAGCUCAAAAUAUUAUAACAUGAAUUUCAAAUAUUAUCGUCAUUAUAUAUUGGAAUGGGAUUUAGUAGAGCAGAGUAACAUGUGGUGAGAUAGGGGUAGAGUGGCGUGCGGUGAAAUAUGUUUAGAGGUCGAAAGGGUAGGGUAGAGAUGUAGGAUAAGGUAGGGGUGUAGGUGGGAUAGGGGUAUAGCUGGGAUAGCAUUUAAUAAAAGGAUGGAGGUAACUGGAAGUGAAAGAAUUAUCACAAAAUUUCUUUGUACGUAACAAUCAUUCAAAAUUUCUUUGAUUAAGUUAAGCCAGAAAGAUCACUUUAUCUAUUUUGGAAGCCUACCAUUUCACAGUUGCAAAUGAAAUCAGUUUUCAUAGAAUAGUAAUCAAUAAUAGUCAGCUUAACGUUCUAAAUAAAAAAAAAUAUAAUCUAUACAUUUAAUAUAGUUUAUAGUAGAAGUGUAGUUUAAAAAAUGACAAACAGUCAUUUAAAGGCUUUCAGGCAUCUGCCUAUCACAAUGCCAUCAAAAAAAAUCAGUGGACAUUUUGCCACUCAUGUUGUCAAAUAUGUUUUUUUAAUUGAAACGACGCAUUUCCAACAAGCUCAUGGUAGCGGAUAUUGUUCUUCAAUUAAAGGUAACUCUUCUACUAUAUAAUUUCUGCAAAACUUCUGUAUUUUCUAAACUUGACUUGCAUUUUCCAUUUUAUAAUUGACACUUACUCCUUCGUUUGCGUUGCUUUUUUUUCUAUUAUUUGUAGUUAAAAUGUUGUAGUUUAUAUUUUAUUAAAAAAUGUUUAGAUCAGCAAAAAUACACUUGAGUACAUCACAAUGUGUUGGAUGACUGGCAGUUAUAAAAAUGCUUUUGAAGAAGAAUAAACAACAUUUAAAAUCCGCGCACAUUGGUCCUAUCCAUAAAAUGUAAAGAUUACCAUUCCAGUCGGCUAAUGUAACAAACUCUUGUCAAAUAUAUUGUUACUGGAAAAUCAAUGUUGAGCUACAAAAGGCGUGCAAGCACACAGUCGCUUAACUCGACAACCGCCUAAGAUAUCAAUACUAUUUUCAUGCUGAACGUUAAGCAAAAUAAAUCGAUUCGCACGUUUAUAUUCUCUGCCAUGGCUCGGCUGGAGUCUGAACCCAAUGCCUUCCCCACUAAAGGCAAACGCUCUACCACAAGGCCAAUUUUAGACCUGCAUGAGGUAUUGUGCAUAUGGAUCUUCUAUUUGAGUUACUGAAGUUGUACAAAUACAGCAACCGCAUAAUUAGUAAAUAUAUCAAUCCUAAUCCAAAUAUAUCAAUCCUAUGCCUAUCUCAACUCAACGUAACAAGAAACAAUCUACUCUUGAGUAGUAACUAGCUGUGGUGCAACCUGUCAAUGUAUUUUGCUUCUUUCUCAGAGUACGUGGUAUCAUUGCAAUUAUUGAACAAAAAUUGCACACGGCUGUUACGGUAAUUUGACUUCAUCUUGAUCUCAAAAUAAACGAAUGUGAUAGUCAAAGAGGUAUAAACAAUCCUAAACAUAUAAAAAGUGGAUCAAUAAAUAUAAAUGGCGAGUUUAUCAUUGAUUAUGUGAUUUAGUUAAUGUUGGCUAACGAAAAAUAUUAUCCUGCCGAAGAAAAACAUAAAACGACAACAAGAAACUAAUGGUUAUUUUCAACAAUUUGUGAAGAAGAUUACAAUUUCAAUGGUUUCCAGAAAAGACGAUGUGUUUUUGAGAAGAGAUUUUAUGUUUUUAAUUGUACAAAGUGCUAAUAUCUUUAAUUGUUUAAGUGCUAAUAUUUUCGCAUCUAAUCAUGUAAUUUCAGCUAUUAACUGCUUUCCAACGUUUUAUUUAUUUUGACAAAUAAAUUGUUUUGUUUUUUGAAAUGGCAAUCUGUCAAUGCAGAAAUACUGUGAAUACAAACAUUUGUUUACACACUUUUAAUUGCGUAUUGACUGAAUCAUUUUUAAAAGUGUAUUAUUUUUCUUCUUGUUUAUUGGUUGUUGCUAAUAUGCGAUAUCAUAAGCUAUUGGAAAUGCCUCUUACGCAAAUUGUUCUGCUGACAACAUGAGAAACACGAAGCGAUAUUUUCCUCUUUUGUUAACUUUUACGUGUAAGUCAUAGUAGAGAAUUGAUAGCAUGACGAAAAGAACUAGACUAUAUUUAGUAAAAUAUAUACAUAGUGCAUCGAGAGAGUUGGUUUGAAGUGUAGCUUAGGCUUUAAUGAAUUUGUCAUCCAUCAUUUCAUUACAUCUUUUCCUGGUUUUGAUUCAUACGUAAAAAUGAUGUAGAAAUGAAUAAUUUUCUUAUUCUUCUAAGAAUUCCCUAAAUUACU